GUGGGGAAUAUUGGACAAUGGGCGAAAGCCUGAUCCAGCCAUCCCGCGUGAGUGAUGAAGGCCCUCGGGUCGUAAAGCUCUGUGGGGAGGGACGAAAAAGCGUCGGUUAAUACCCGGCGAACUGACGGUACCUCUUUAGCAAGCACCGGCUAACUCCGUGCCAGCAGCCGCGGUAAUACGGAGGGUGCAAACGUUGCUCGGAAUCAUUGGGCGUAAAGCGCACGUAGGCGGUUCGAUAAGUCGGAUGUGAAAGCCCUAGGCUUAACCAAGGAAGUGCAUUCGAAACUGCCGAACUUGAGUAUGGGAGAGGAUUGCGGAAUUCUCGGUGAAGAGGUGAAAUUCGUAGAUAUCGGGAGGAACACCAGUGGCGAAGGCGGCAAUCUGGACCAAUACUGACGCUGAGGUGCGAAAGCGUGGGGAGCAAACAGG
rnacentral:rRNA from 1 species